rnacentral:rRNA from 1 species
AAUCAACGCUGGCGGCGUGCUUAACACAUGCAAGUGGAGCGACGAACCAGGGCUUGCCCUGGGGCAAAGCCGCGAACGGGUGAGUAACACGUGGGUCACCUGCCUCGAUGACCGGGACAACCCGAGGAAACUCGGGCUAAUACCGGAUGUGCCCGCAAGGGGAAAGGAAGCUUCGGCCUCCGCAUCGAGAUGGGCCCGCGGCCCAUUAGCUUGUUGGUGAGGUAAAGGCUCACCAAGGCNCCGAUGGGUAGCUGGUCUGAGAGGACGAUCAGCCACACUGGGACUGAGACACGGCCCAGACUCCUACGGGAGGCAGCAGUGGGGAAUCUUGCGCAAUGGGCGGAAGCCUGACGCAGCGACGCCGCGUGAGGGAUGACGGCCUCGGUGUAA